UCUAACCUUAAUGAAGAGGCCUGAGUUGGGCAUCACGUUGACUAAACUCCACUGCUGGUCACUCACUCAGUAUUCCAAAUGUGUGUUCAUGGAUGCAGAUACUCUGGUUCUCUCAAAUAUUGAUGAUCUUUUUGAAAGAGAAGAAUUGUCAGCAGCACCAGACCCAGGGUGGCCUGACUGUUUCAAUUCUGGAGUCUUUGUCUAUCAACCCUCAAUUGAAACGUAUAACCAGCUGUUGCAUCUUGCUUCUGAGCAAGGUAGUUUUGAUGGCAUUCCUCGGGGUGAAAUGAAGCUGACACACUGGCCUGCACAAGUCUGCACAAGCACUGGAAUGAACUUUCUUUCCCCUGCAUCUCUAAAGUGUCCUAAGUUAAGGCUGCUUAUGUAUCUAUACAUCAGUCUGAAAACUCAUUACAAGAAUUAAUAUUGCCCAGUCUGGAGUGCCCUAUUGUUUAUUUAAUCUUAAUAGUUGCUUUAAUAAUUGUAAUAAAAAUACCCUACAUUUUUAAUUUGUUUACUAGAAUAUUUGCGGCAGAAUAUUAGAUUUUAUUUUACUUUAAGCUGAAUCCAGGAUCUGUAAUAAAGUUGGUUUCUUUAUUCUCCUUG
rnacentral:lncRNA from 1 species